rfam:Mycobacterium kansasii 732 gmk732.contig.0, whole genome shotgun sequence.
GGAGCUCUACGCCGAAGGGCUAGCGAUCCGCGGCGGCCCCGCGUCAUGCGUCGACGACCCGCGAGGGCGUGGCGAAGCGUUGACAGGGGGUAUGUGCAGGCCGGGCUAUUGAGCCGCGAAAUGAUGCGAUCGGGGUGCCCACGUUGUACAAGAGGCGGAAGGCAACAUCGCUGGCGGCGCUUUCGCGAGCCGUUGGUGGACCCCGCGUGGUCAAAGAUCC